GGAAUCUUGCCCAAUGGACGAAAGUCUGAGGCAGCGACGCCGCGUGGGGGAAGAAGGCCUUCGGGCUGUAAACCUCUUUCAGCAGGGACGAAGCCACUCGGGUUAAUAGCCCAGAGGGUGACGGUACCUGCAGAAGAAGCCCCGGCUAACUACGUGCCAGCAGCCGCGGUAAUACGUAGGGGGCAAGCGUUGUCCGGAUUUAUUGGGCGUAAAGAGCGUGUAGGCGGCCGCACAGGUCCGUUGUGAAAACUGGAGGCUUAACCUUCAGACGUCGAUGGAAACCGUGCGGCUAGAGUCCGGAAGAGGAGAAUGAAAUUCCUGGUGUAGCGGUGAAAUGCGCAGAUAUCAGGAAGAACACCCGUGGCUAAGGCGGUUCUCUAGUACGGUACUGACGCUGAGACGCGAAAGCGUGGGGAGCGAAC
rnacentral:rRNA from 1 species